AUGAUCUACCGCUUUUCGGAGACGCCGAACUACACGCAAGGCGCGUCCUUCUCGCUCGCGCCGCCGCCGUCGGCCACUCUCUUCUCCAUCCCCGAGCGGGCGUACGACCCGGAGGAACGCAAGCGCAACCCCGACCGCAGGUACGUCAACGUGUACGCCAGCGUCAUCUUCGCCGCGAGCCAGGACUGCCAUCUCCUCCUGAAGACUACGAGGAUCCGUUUGAGCGCCCACACGGCCGCGGGGCUGAACCUGGCCCGCCCCACGGAACAGGAAGCCGAGGUGGUCAUGGAGGAGGCCGUCGAGAAGGAGUUCGUGUGCUACGUGUGCAACCCCGUUACUGGCCAGCUGGUCCGCCUUCCGGACUACUUGGGCAUGAAGGAGAUCUUGCAGACGGCCACGGGCCUGCUCACCCAAGCAGACGGCGGGCACGGGCCACCUAAGAGGUACGCCGUUGUUGAUCUAACAGAGCUCAACGGCGAGGGGCGCUUCGUGGUGUUUUGCUUCUCCUCGGACACAGGGAAGUGGGACGCAAUGGUGCGGCCAUCUCCGCUGCAGCCUGGGCGCGAGAUGCGCUUGUUCAAUCACGAGGUGCUGGCCUUUGGUGGACGUCUGUGGUGGGUGGAUGUGAGCUUGGGCGUCCUCUCCAUGGACCCGUUCAGUGACAAGUGUGAGCUCCGCCACGUCAAGCUGCCUCCCGGCAGCGCCCUUCCUCGCCAAUCGCACGCAGAGAUUUGCGACCUUAUCAAAUACAGGCGCAUGGGUGUCAGCGACGGGAAGCUGCUGUAUGUCGAGGUUUCCAUGGAGGCGCCCUACCAGAUCAGGUCAUUCGUGCUGGACGACGAGAGCGGCCGCUGGGCGUUGGAGCACCAGGUGUCACUGGAUGCCAAGGAGAGGCCUUUGGUUGGUGCGAUUGAUCCGCUGACUUGCUGUACCUCAACUUGGGCGCUGAAGUUACUGUUAGCGUGGACAUGCGCCGGAACAGGAUCAUUGCUCAGUCAUCUGUGUUGGCCAGUGGUAUCCAGCCAUGCUAUUGCGGGUCAAAUGUGUUCUUGCCAUGUGUGCUUCCGUCAUUUCUGGGAUCAAGCCAGAUUCCAGGCAAGAAGGGUGCCCCAAAACAGCAAACUUUAG
rnacentral:rRNA from 1 species